AGGACGAACGCUGGCGGCGUGCUUAACACAUGCAAGUCGAGCGGUAAGGCCUUUCGGGGUACACGAGCGGCGAACGGGUGAGUAACACGUGGGUGAUCUGCCCUGCACUUCGGGAUAAGCCUGGGAAACUGGGUCUAAUACCGGAUAUGACCUCCUAUCGCAUGGUGGGUGGUGGAAAGAUUUAUCGGUGCAGGAUGGGCCCGCGGCCUAUCAGCUUGUUGGUGGGGUAAUGGCCUACCAAGGCGACGACGGGUAGCCGACCUGAGAGGGUGACCGGCCACACUGGGACUGAGACACGGCCCAGACUCCGUACGGGA
rnacentral:rRNA from 1 species